rnacentral:rRNA from 1 species
GGCGAUGACGGGUAGCUGGUCUGAGAGGACGACCAGCCACACUGGAACUGAGACACGGUCCAGACACCUACGGGUGGCAGCAGUCGAGAAUUUUUCUCAAUGGGGGCAACCCUGAAGGAGCGACGCCGCGUGGAGGAUGAAGGUCUUCGGAUUGUAAACUCCUGUCAUUUGGGAACAAAUACCUGAUUUAACUGAUUAGGAACUGAUAGUACCAGAAGAGGAAGAGACGGCUAACUCUGUGCCAGCAGCCGCGGUAAUACAGAGGUCUCAACCGUUGUUCGGAUUCAUUGGGCGUAAAGGGUGCGUAGGCGGUCGCGCAAGUCGAUGUGAAAUCUUAGGGCUCAACCCUGAAACUGCAUUCGAUACUGCGUCUCGAGUACUGGAGAGGAGACUGGAAUUUACGGUGUAGCAGUGAAAUGCGUAGAUAUCGUAAGGAAGACCAGUGGCGAAGGCGAGUCUCUGGACAGUUACUGACGCUGAGGCACGAAGGCCAGGGGAGCAAACGGGAUUAGAUACCCCGGUAGUCCUGGCAGUAAACGGUGUACGUUUGGUGUAGGCGGAUUCGACCCCGCCUGUGCCGGAGCUAACGCGUUAAACGUACCGCCUGGGAAGUACGGUCGCAAGAUUAAAACUCAAAGAAAUUGACGGGGGCCCGCACAAGCGGUGGAGUAUGUGGCUUAAUUCGAUGCUACGCGAAGAACCUUACCAGGGUUUGACAUGUAUCUCUAAGUCGGUGAAAGCUGGCGAGUUGUAGCAAUACAACAAUUUACACAGGUGCUGCAUGGCUGUCGUCAGCUCGUGUCGUGAGAUGUUGGGUUAAGUCCCGCAACGAGCGCAACCCUUACGUCCUGUUGCCACUCCUUUAUUGGAAGCACUCUGGACGGACUGCCCUGUGAAACGGGGAGGAAGGUGAGGAUGACGUCAAGUCAGCAUGGCCCUUACACCCUGGGCUGCACACGUACUACAAUGCUCAGUACAAUAUGAGCCGAAACCGCGAGGUGGAGGAAAUCGAUAAAACUGAGCCCAAUUCGGAUCGCAGGCUGCAACUCGCCUGCGUGAAGCCGGAAUCGCUAGUAAUGCCGUAUCAGCUACGACGGCGUGAAUACGUUCCCGGGCCUUGUACACACCGCCCGUCACAUCAUGGGAGUCGUUUGCACCCGAAGUACACCACUGGUGUCCUACGGUAUGAGCGGUAACUGGGAUGAAGUCGUAACAAGGUA